rnacentral:lncRNA from 1 species
UGUGUUUGUUUUCAACGGGUUGUCUCUAUAAUACGUUUUCAAUGCACAAAAAAAAAGAACAAUUUGUUUUUGUUUUUGCUUUUGGGCCUUAAUCCAACCAAACUAUCCGCACAUAAAUAGAUGGAGCAGAUUCACAUUGAAGAAAAAUGGAAGUUUCGUUCCUCGCCUUGAUUAACCUGACCAGAUAGCGAAUCAUAAGCCUGACCUGAAGUUGCUGCAAAACAAUUUGGUUGUGUUGGGAUUCAUCAG